UUAUUUAGUCUUGUCUUCCCCUGUGCUCCAUGUCGGUUCGUUGUCUUUCCUUUCACGUCACGCUCCAUGUUUGUCCCUGAAGUUUUUGGUCCUGGAUUCCUUACUCGUGCUCCCCUGAUUUGUGUACCUGUGGGGGCGUGGCCUGAGCGAGGGGGCACAGGGGGGGUCUGCAGGAUGAUGGUGUCACUGCAGGACGACAGCCUGACGGUCACCUCCUCGUCCAGGAUCCGACGUGGAGCCUGAAGGAGGAGAAAGUGGUUAAUCUGCUCACCUUCUCCAGCACCUUGCAGACAUAUUGGCACCAGAGGAUGAGGACGAUGAUGAUGACUAACAUCAGGAUGAUGGUGACCAGGCA